CAGUGUAGUGCAGCGCGCGCGCGUGUGUGCGGGUAUCCAGAUGGAUAUUAUGGGAUACACGUGCUUCAGCACUCUCUGGAUAUCACAUGAGGAUGAUGCCGACUGCGCUCUAUGGAGAUGAGCAGGACUCAGUCUCGUGGAUUAUUUCACACACGCGGAUUAACCUCACCAUCACCUCCACAUGUGGAUUACACUCACCCCGCAGCCGGAGGACACACGGAUGAUCUGGUGUGAUGGAGGAUCUCUGGCUGAACACAGGUGAGUCUAGAGGUGGUGCAGUGUGUGUGUGAGAGCUGUGGACACUGACGGACACUGAGGAUUGAUCAGAGAUAUCUGGAGGAGCUCACUGGACGUGUGACUGAUGUGUCGUGUGUGUGUGUGUGUGUGUGUGUGUGUGUGUGUGUGUUAUUGUGUACUGAAGCUGUAUCUCUGACUGAUGUACACUGAACACAUCUUAAUAAAACACAUCAACUCUC